ACAAUGGAGAGUUUGAUCCUGGCUCAGGAUGAACGCUAGCGGCAGGCUUAACACAUGCAAGUCGAGGGGCAGCAUGAAGUAGCAAUACUUUGAU
rnacentral:rRNA from 1 species